rnacentral:rRNA from 1 species
GAUGAACGCUAGCUACAGGCUUAACACAUGCAAGUCGAGGGGUAACAAGAGAAAAGCUUGCUUUUCUUGUUGACGACCGGCGUACGGGUGAGUAACGCGUAUCCAACCUGCCUAUAACUAGGGAAUAACCUUGCGAAAGUAAGACUAAUACCCUAUGAUUUCCUUUGAUGGCAUCAGAUUAGGAAUAAAGAUUUAUCGGUUAUAGAUGGGGAUGCGUCUGAUUAGCUUGUUGGCGGGGUAACGGCCCACCAAGGCAACGAUCAGUAGGGGUUCUGAGAGGAAGGUCCCCCACAUUGGAACUGAGACACGGUCCAAACUCCUACGGGAGGCAGCAGUGAGGAAUAUUGGUCAAUGGGCGGAAGCCUGAACCAGCCAUGCCGCGUGUGUGAAGAAGGCCUUCGGGUUGUAAAGCACUUUAAGUUGGGAGGAAGGUUCCAAGGCUAAUACCUUUGGGAAUUGACGUUACCGACAGAAUAAGCACCGGCUAAUUCCGUGCCAGCAGCCGCGGUAA